rnacentral:rRNA from 1 species
GAUGAACGCUGGCGGCGUGCCUAAUACAUGCAAGUAGAACGCUGAAGGAGGAGCUUGCUCUUCUGGAUGAGUUGCGAACGGGUGAGUAACGCGUAGGUAACCUGCCUGGUAGCGGGGGAUAACUAUUGGAAACGAUAGCUAAUACCGCAUGACAACAGUUAUUGCAUGAUAACUGUUUAAAAGGGGCAACUGCUCCACUACCAGAUGGACCUGCGUUGUAUUAGCUAGUUGGUGAGGUAACGGCUCACCAAGGCGACGAUACAUAGCCGACCUGAGAGGGGGAUCGGCCAAACUGGGACUGGGACACGGCCCAGACUCCUACGGGAGGCAGCAGUAGGGAAACUUCGGCAAUGGACGGAAGUCUGGCCGAGCAACGCCGCGUGAGGGAAGAAGGUUUUCGGAUCGGAAAGCUCUGUUGUAAGGGAAGAACGAGUGUGAGAGUGGAAAGUUCACACUGUGACGGUAUCUAACCAGAAAGGGACGGCUAACUACGUG